GAUGAACGCUGGUGGCGUGCCUAAUACAUGCAAGUCGAGCGAACAGACGAGGAGCUUGCUCCUUCGACGUUAGCGGCGGACGGGUGAGUAACACGUAGGUAACCUACCUAUAAGACUGGGAUAACUUCGGGAAACCGGAGCUAAUACCGGAUAAUAUUUCGAACCGCAUGGUUCGAUAGUGAAAGAUGGCUUUGCUAUCACUUAUAGAUGGACCUGCGCCGUAUUAGCUAGUUGGUAAGGUAACGGCUUACCAAGGCAACGAUACGUAGCCGACCUGAGAGGGUGAUCGGCCACACUGGAACUUAGACACGGUCCAGACUCCUACGGGAGGCAGCAGUAGGGAAUCUUCCGCAAUGGGCGAAAGCCUGACGGAGCAACGCCGCGUGAGUGAUGAAGGUCUUCGGAUCGUAAAACUCUGUUAUUAGGGAAGAACAAACGUGUAAGUAACUGUGCACGUCUUGACGGUACCUAAUCAGAAAGCCACGGCUAACUACGUG
rnacentral:rRNA from 1 species